rnacentral:rRNA from 1 species
UGGGGAAUAUUGCGCAAUGGGCGAAAGCCUGACGCAGCGACGCCGCGUGCGGGAUGAAGGCCUUCGGGUUGUAAACCGCUUUCAGCAGGGACGAAACAAGACGGUACCUGCAGAAGAAGCGCCGGCUAACUACGUGCCAGCAGCCGCGGUAAUACGUAGGGCGCAAGCGUUGUCCGGAAUUAUUGGGCGUAAAGAGCUCGUAGGCGGCCUGUUGCGUCCGCUGUGAAAUCCCGGGGCUCAACCCCGGGCCUGCAGUGGAUACGGGCUGGCUAGAGGCAGGCAGGGGAGAACGGAAUUCCUGGUGUAGCGGUGAAAUGCGCAGAUAUCAGGAGGAACACCGGUGGCGAAGGCGGUUCUCUGGGCCUGUACUGACGCUGAGGAGCGAAAGCGUGGGGAGCAAACA